UGGGGAAUAUUGGACAAUGGGCGAAAGCCUGAUCCAGCCAUGCCGCGUGUGUGAAGAAGGUCUUCGGAUUGUAAAGCACUUUAAGUUGGGAGGAAGGGCAUUAACCUAAUACGUUAGUGUUUUGACGUUACCGACAGAAUAAGCACCGGCUAACUCUGUGCCAGCAGCCGCGGUAAUACAGAGGGUGCAAGCGUUAAUCGGAAUUACUGGGCGUAAAGCGCGCGUAGGUGGUGUGUUAAGUUGGAUGUGAAAUCCCCGGGCUCAACCUGGGAACUGCAUUCAAAACUGACUGACUAGAGUAUGGUAGAGGGUGGUGGAAUUUCCUGUGUAGCGGUGAAAUGCGUAGAUAUAGGAAGGAACACCAGUGGCGAAGGCGACCACCUGGACUAAUACUGACACUGAGGUGCGAAAGCGAGGGGAGCAAACA
rnacentral:rRNA from 1 species